rnacentral:rRNA from 1 species
UGCGUAGGUGGCCGGGUAAGUCUGAUGUGAAAUCUCCGAGCCUAACUCGGAAACUGCAUCGGAUACUAUUCGGCUGGAGGGUUGGGAGGGGGGACUGGAAUACUUGGUGUAGCAGUGAAAUGCGUAGAUAUCAAGUGGAACACCAGUGGCGAAGGCGAGUCCCUGGACAACUCCUGACACUGAGGCACGAAAGCUGGGAGCAAACA